GAUGAACGCUGACAGAAUGCUUAACACAUGCAAGUCAACUUGAACUUCGGUUUGGGUGGCGGACGGGUGAGUAACGCGUAAAGAACUUGCCUCACAGAUAGGGACAACAUUUGGAAACGAAUGCUAAUACCUGAUAUUAUGAUUUUAGGGCAUCCUAGGAUUAUGAAAGCUAUAUGCGCUGUGAGAGAGCUUUGCGUCCCAUUAGCUAGUUGGAGAGGUAACGGCUCACCAAUGCGAUGAUGGGUAGCCGGCCUGAGAGGGUGAUCGGCCACAAGGGGACUGAGACACGGCCCUUACUCCUACUGGAGGCAGCAGUGGGGAAUAUUGGACAAUGGACCAAGAGUCUGAUCCAGCAAUUCUGUGUGCACGAUGAAGUUUUUCGGAAUGUAAAGUGCUUUCAGUUGGGAAGAAAAAAAUGACGGUACCAACAGAAGAAGUGACGGCUAAAUACGUG
rnacentral:rRNA from 1 species